GACGAACGCUGGCGGCGCGCUUAACACAUGCAAGUCGAGCGAAGCGGCGGACGGGUGAGUAACACGUGAGUAAUCUGCCUUAGACAUUGGGAUAGCCUCGGGAAACCGGGAUUAAUACCAAAUGGUCUAAGAUGGACUCGCGUCCCAGUAGCUAGUUGGUGAGGUAACGGCCCACCAAGGGGACGAUGGGUAGCCGGACUGAGAGGGUGAACGGCUACAAUGGAACUAAGAGACAGUCCAAACUCUACGGGAGGCAGCAGUGGGGAAUGUUGCGAAAUGGAGGGAAAUCUGAUGCAGCGAAGCCGCGUGAACGAAGAAGGCUUUCGAGUAGUGAAGUACUUUUAUAUGGGAAGCGGUACCAUAAGAAAAAGCCCCGGCUAACUACGUGCCAGCAGCCGCGGUAAUAC
rnacentral:rRNA from 1 species